rnacentral:rRNA from 2 species
GGUCAAGCGAACAAGUGCAUGUGGUGGAUGCCUUGGCGAUCACAGGCGAUGAAGGACGCGGUAGCCUGCGAAAAGCUACGGGGAGCUGGCAAACAAGCUUUGAUCCGUAGAUGUCCGAAUGGGGAAACCCACUCCUUUUGGAGUAUCCAUGGCUGAAUACAUAGGCCAUGUGAAGCGAACGCGGUGAACUGAAACAUCUAAGUAACCGCAGGAAAAGAAAUCAACCGAGAUUCCCAAAGUAGUGGCGAGCGAAAUGGGAUGAGCCUUGCACUCUUUAUUUGUAUUGUUAGCCGAACGCUCUGGAAAGUGCGGCCAUAGCAGGUGAUAGCCCUGUAGGCGAAAACAGUAUGAAAGAACUAGGUGUGCGACAAGUAGGGCGGGACACGUGAAAUCCUGUCUGAAGAUGGGGGGACCAUCCUCCAAGGCUAAAUACUCGUGAUCGACCGAUAGUGAACCAGUACCGUGAGGGAAAGGCGAAAAGAACCCCGGGAGGGGAGUGAAAUAGAUCCUGAAACCGCAUGCAUACAAACAGUCGGAGCCUCGUAAGGGGUGACGGCGUACCUUUUGUAUAAUGGGUCAGCGACUUACGUUCAGUAGCAAGCUUAACCGUAUAGGGCAGGCGUAGCGAAAGCGAGUCCGAAUAGGGCGUUCAGUUGCUGGGCGUAGACCCGAAACCAGGUGAUCUAUCCAUGGCCAGGAUGAAGGUGCGGUAACACGUACUGGAGGUCCGAACCCACUAACGUUGAAAAGUUAGGGGAUGAGCUGUGGAUAGGGGUGAAAGGCUAAACAAACCUGGAAAUAGCUGGUUCUCUCCGAAAACUAUUUAGGUAGUGCCUCGUGUCUCACCUUCGGGGGUAGAGCACUGUCAUGGUUGGGGGGUCUAUUGCAGAUUACCCCGCCAUAGCAAACUCCGAAUACCGAAGAGUGCAAUCACGGGAGACAGACAUCGGGUGCUAACGUCCGGUGUCAAGAGGGAAACAACCCAGACCGCCAGCUAAGGUCCCCAAAUAUAGCUAAGUGGGAAACGAAGUGGGAAGGCUAAAACAGUCAGGAGGUUGGCUUAGAAGCAGCCACCCUUUAAAGAAAGCGUAAUAGCUCACUGAUCGAGUCGUCCUGCGCGGAAGAUGUAACGGGGCUAAGCUAUAUACCGAAGCUGCGGAUGCGAGCUUUGCUCGCAUGGUAGGAGAGCGUUCCGUAAGCCUGCGAAGGUGCCUUGUAAAGGGUGCUGGAGGUAUCGGAAGUGCGAAUGCUGACAUGAGUAGCGAUAAAGGGGGUGAAAGGCCCCCUCGCCGUAAGCCCAAGGUUUCCUACGCAACGUUCAUCGGCGUAGGGUGAGUCGGCCCCUAAGGCGAGGCAGAAAUGCGUAGCUGAUGGGAAGCAGGUCAAUAUUCCUGCACCAUUGUUAGAUGCGAUGGGGGGACGGAUCGCGGAAGGUUGUCCGGGUGUUGGAAGUCCCGGUCGCUGCAUUGGAGAAGGCGCUUAGGCAAAUCCGGGCGCGGAAUUCAAGGGUGUGGCGCGAGCUCCUUAGGGAGCGAAGCAAUUGGAAGUGGUUCCAAGAAAAGCCUCUAAGCUUCAGUCUAACGAUGACCGUACCGCAAACCGACACAGGUGGGCGAGAUGAGUAUUCUAAGGCGCUUGAGAGAACUCGGGAGAAGGAACUCGGCAAAUUGGUACCGUAACUUCGGGAUAAGGUACGCCCUUGUAGCUUGACUGGCUUGCGCCAGAAGGGUGAAGGGGUUGCAAUAAACUGGUGGCUGCGACUGUUUAAUAAAAACACAGCACUCUGCAAACACGAAAGUGGACGUAUAGGGUGUGACGCCUGCCCGGUGCCGGAAGAUUAAAUGAUGGGGUGCAAGCUCUUGAUUGAAGUCCCGGUAAACGGCGGCCGUAACUAUAACGGUCCUAAGGUAGCGAAAUUCCUUGUCGGGUAAGUUCCGACCUGCACGAAUGGCGUAACGAUGGCCACACUGUCUCCUCCCGAGACUCAGCGAAGUUGAAGUGUUUGUGAUGAUGCAAUCUACCCGCGGCUAGACGGAAAGACCCCAUGAACCUUUACUGUAGCUUUGCAUUGGACUUUGAACCGAUCUGUGUAGGAUAGGUGGGAGGCUAUGAAACCGGAACGCUAGUUUCGGUGGAGCCGUCCUUGAAAUACCACCCUGGUUUGUUUGAGGUUCUAACCUUGGCCCGUGAUCCGGGUCGGGGACAGUGCAUGGUAGGCAGUUUGACUGGGGCGGUCUCCUCCCAAAGCGUAACGGAGGAGUACGAAGGUACGCUAGGUACGGUCGGAAAUCGUGCUGAUAGUGCAAUGGCAUAAGCGUGCUUAACUGCGAGACCGACAAGUCGAGCAGGUGCGAAAGCAGGUCAUAGUGAUCCGGUGGUUCUGUAUGGAAGGGCCAUCGCUCAACGGAUAAAAGGUACUCUGGGGAUAACAGGCUGAUACCGCCCAAGAGUUCAUAUCGACGGCGGUGUUUGGCACCUCGAUGUCGGCUCAUCUCAUCCUGGGGCUGUAGCCGGUCCCAAGGGUAUGGCUGUUCGCCAUUUAAAGAGGUACGUGAGCUGGGUUUAAAACGUCGUGAGACAGUUUGGUCCCUAUCUGCCGUGGGCGUUGGAUAUUUGAAGGGGGCUGCUCCUAGUACGAGAGGACCGGAGUGGACGAACCUCUGGUGUACCGGUUGUCACGCCAGUGGCAUCGCCGGGUAGCUAUGUUCGGAAGAGAUAACCGCUGAAAGCAUCUAAGCGGGAAACUCGCCUUAAGAUGAGAUAUCCCUGGGGACUAGAUCCCCUUGAAGGGUCGUUCGAGACCAGGACGUUGAUAGGUCAGGUGUGUAAGCGCAGUAAUGCGUUCAGCUAACUGAUACUAAUUGCCCGUAAGGCUUGAUCCU